rnacentral:rRNA from 1 species
CACUCUAGUGAGACUGCCGGUGACAACCGGAGGAAGUGGGGAUGACGUCAAGUCCUCAUGGCCCUUAUGGGUAGGGCUUCACACGUCAUACAAUGGUCGGUACAGAGGGUUGCCAAGCCGCGAGGUGGAGCCAAUCCUAAAAGCAGGCCUCAGUUCAGAUUGCAGUCUGCAACCCGACUGCAUGAAGAUGGAGUUGCUAGUAACCGCAGGUCAGCUAUACUGCGGUGAAUACGUUCCCGGGUCUU